AUGCUCAACUUUGGCAGCACAUAUACUAAAACUGGAACAAUAAAGAGAAAAUUAGCAUGGUCCCUAUGCAAGGGUGACACACAAAUUUGUGAAGCAUUCUAUAUUUUU
rnacentral:snRNA from 1 species